AGGACGAACGCUGGCGGCGUGCUUAACACAUGCAAGUCGAACGGACUCCAUUCACUCGCAAGAGUGAUGAAGAGUCAGUGGCGAACGGGUGAGUAACACGUGAGAAACCUAUCCUGGUCUCUGGGAUAACAGCCGGAAACGGCUGCUAAUACCGGAUAACGUCGGAGCGUCGCAUGGCGCGCUGACGAAAGGGUUACUGGAUCAGGAGGGUCUCGCGGCCUAUCAGCUAGUUGGUGGGUAACGGCCUACCAAGGCAUCGACGGGUAGCUGGUCUGAGAGGAUGAUCAGCCACACUGGGACUGAGACACGGCCCAGACUCCUACGGGAGGCAGCAGUGGGGAAUCUUGCGCAAUGGGCGAAAGCCUGACGCAGCAACGCCGCGUGCGGAAGAAGGCCCUCGGUUGUAAACCGCUUUCAGAAGGAACGAAAAUGACGGUACUUUCAGAAGAAGGUGCGGCCAACUACGUGCCAGCAGCCGCGGUAA
rnacentral:rRNA from 1 species